CGGGCGGCAGCUCAGCUGACAAGUAGCAAACUACUUCCUCUCUAACGGUUGUUUUUACUAAGUUGUUUUUAUUAAGUUUAGUCCCUAAAAUUACACAAAUAAUACAUACAACUUUUACUGACACUUUCUUACAUGUAACUGACAUGCUUCUGUUGAAUAUUUACUUUACACAAAUGGUUCAUUGUCAUGGGAAUAAGUCCAUUAUCAUCACAACCGUGAACUAACAGAGGCUAACUAUAAGAGCUGAAGACCAUGCAGCAGAGUUGGAGUGGACCUCUUGUUGAAUAACUUCUCCAGGCACUAUGAACCAUCUGACUAAUUGGAUAUGACCGGUGAACGUGGAAGCAGGAAAAAAAAAACGCAUGGAUUCCGAUGUUCUCAGAUCGGAUUCAGGCCUCAUUCAUAUGUGGUAAUAAAUCAGAUUUGAAUCGGAUAUGUGCAUUUCCGUGUGACAUGUAAGCAGACAAAUCGGAUAUUCCACAGUAAAUGCGAGUUGUACGUCAUUAAAAAAGUGACGUCAACUCAGGUGGACACCACCAACUGAGAUCACAUGACUUAUUAUAGGCGCGAAAUUCGCCCAGGCUGCAACAAGGGCUCCUCUUUUUUUCUCUGCCAUACGAGACCAAUGUUUUGCUGAUUUUUUAGUUGACUUUUCAAAAUAUUGUGGAAAGCAAAACACUGUAUAAUUUUAUUUGCAUCUGCAUCCAUUGUAUUUCGUGCUGUUUUACUUCCUUUUCCAGGUCAGAAAGUCUAUGUUUGGUAGUUUCAGCAGUGUAUAGUGUAAAUGCAAAAAUCGGAUACGGGACACUUUUAAAAGAUGAUUUAAGCGGGUCGUCAAAAAAACUGGAUAUAGUCAGAAAAUCGGAUUUGGGCAUC